AACGAACGCUGGCGGCAUGCCUAACACAUGCAAGUCGAACGAGAUCUUCGGGUCUAGUGGCGCACGGGUGCGUAACGCGUGGGAAUCUGCCCUUUGGUUCGGAAUAACAGUUGGAAACGACUGCUAAUACCGGAUGAUGACGAAAGUCCAAAGAUUUAUCGCCAGAGGAUGAGCCCGCGUAGGAUUAGCUAGUUGGUGUGGUAAAGGCGCACCAAGGCGACGAUCCUUAGCUGGUCUGAGAGGAUGAUCAGCCACACUGGGACUGAGAACACGGCCCAGACUCCUACGGGAGGCAGCAGUGGGGAAUAUUGGACAAUGGGCGAAAGCCUGAUCCAGCAAUGCCGCGUGAGUGAUGAAGGCCUUAGGGUUGUAAAGCUCUUUUACCCGGGAUGAUAAUGACAGUACCGGGAGAAUAAGCUCCGGCUAACUCCGUGCCAGCAGCCGCCGUAA
rnacentral:rRNA from 1 species